rnacentral:tRNA from 1 species
GCGCGGGUGGUGAAAUUGGUAGACACGCCACUUUGAGGGGGUGGUGCCCGCAAGGGCUUGGAGGUUCGAGUCCUCUCCCGCGCA